ensembl:lncRNA
AAAAUGGCAAGAGUAAGUCCUUACAGAUCAAUAAUAACCUUGAAUGUUAAUGGACUAAACUUCCAAUCAAAACUGUUAUGGAAAGAACUGUUAGGAAAAGCAGUUCUGCCGGUCCCCACACACACCAUUUUUCAUCAACUCUAGAUGAGGUAAGGGCCCCCAGAUGCCUUAGGCGUAGCAUUCUUUGGGGUGAAGUCCCUUCCUGCUCAGAGUCUAAAAACAAGUAGUGACACUGUUUCUGCCUAAUAGACCUUCAGUCUCCAGAGUGGAGAAUCUGCCUUUGUGUGGGGUCUUAGUAAGAAAAGCUAGGAUCCAGAUCGGAUCCUCUCUCGCCCUGCUGCAGCCAGGGAGUGCACAUGUGACUUAGACUCAGCCAACCAAAUGCUCUUUCCUUGUAUGUGGACAUUUGGGUGAGAAGGGCGGGGAAACACAGAUGGCUGCAAUACCACCAGAGGUCAUGGGGUGGGCAGGCUGAACCGUUUCUGUUAAGAGACUGUUGUUGUGGUUCUUGGGGCCUUCCUCUUUGUUUCUCGGUUCUUAACUGUUCUCAAGCCUGAUCCAUCAGCUUCCUUCUAUUCUGUCAGUUCCCUGACAGUCUUUCAAUAGGUCUCUUUUACUUAAGUUAGCUAGAUUAGUUCUCCAGCUUUUAACCAAGAAUGCUUCCUGGUGGAACCGAGCCUCUCUCACCCCUGUGGUUUGGCCAACAGAGAAAGGAAUCUCUUGGGGGAGCAACCUUGACCUUGGCUUUGUUUCCAGGCUUGCCUCACUGUGGCAGGCUGGCCUUAGCGUACUGCCUCGGCUACCAGGGCCCUUCUCAGUGGGAUCAUUAUGCCAUAUAUUGAUCUUAAGUGUGACUUCCUCUCUGUCUCAUGUAGGAUAGGUCCUUAACACUGGCAAGAACUAACCUCCCAGAAUCAGACACAGAGGAGACGGCUUCUCUAGGACCCUUCAGUGACAAGCUAGUGCCAGUUCUUGUGGUCAAGGGUCGACAUGGGUUAGGAACAGAGAGGUAAAUGAACUCUUGGGCUGCUGGAAAGUUCCAGCUGUGCAUCCCCACCCUCCCCUGCAUCUUUUCUCUUUUGUGUAAAUUUCCAUUCCUGGUAAGGAUGGACAUGUGGGGAAACUCAUCUUUGUUAACACAAUGUCAUCCCCCAAAUAUCACUGGUGGGGUUGUGGCCUGGAGUUCUGCAUCCAGGGGCUUAGUGCAGACUUCUCAGGCUGGCAUGGAGGUGGUGCUGUUUGCAUGUGGUCAGUCUGGACUGAUAAAGAUAAUACCAGGGUACUGGAUAAGAUUCACUAGCUAAACCUCACUUUGCAUCUCUGUACUUGGAUUAAAGAGGUUAGUUAGUGAAAAACAGGUGAAUUUCACUUCUUUGGAGUGGUAUAGAGGAUUUUCUAACACAAAACUCAGACGCUAUAAAAAGACAAGGUUAACAAAUUGAUUGCAUAAAAACUUCAAAUUUCUAUAACAGAAAACAAAAAGCAAACUGAGAAAUAGUAGCAACUAUUGUGUCAAAGAGAUAAUUUUCUUAAUAUACAAAGAGCUCUUACAAAUAAAUCCAAUUAAAAUGGGAAAAGGACUGGGCAUGGUGACUCAUGCCUCCCAGCAAUUUGGGAGACCAAGAUGGGCAGAUCCCUUGAGGUCAGGAGUUUGAAACCAGCCUGGCCAACAUGGUGCAACCCUGUCUCUACUAAAUUAGCUGGGCGUGGUGGUGCAGGCCUGUAAUCCCAUCUACUCAGGAGGUUGAGGCAGAGGAAUCACUUGAACCCGGGAGGUGGAGGUUGCAGUGACCCGAGAUUGUGCCACUGCAGUCUAACCUGGGAGACAGAGCAAGACACUGUCUCAAAAAAAAAAAAAAAAAAAA